AACUCCCUGAAAGGCCACCUAAUACCGGAUGUGAAUGCAAAUUCAAAGUUGGGGACCGCAAGGCCUGACGCUUUACGAUGAGCCCGCGGCCUAUCAGCUAGUUGGUGAGGUAACGGCUCACCAAGGCUAAGACGGGUAGCUGGUCUGAGAGGACGACCAGCCACACUGGAACUGAGACACGGUCCAGACACCUACGGGUGGCAGCAGUCGAGAAUUUUUCUCAAUGGGCGAAAGCCUGAAGGAGCGACGCCGCGUGGGGGAUGAAUGGCUUCGGCCCGUAAACCCCUGUCAUUUGCGAACAAAUUACUUUACCUAACACGUAAAGUAUUGAUUGUAGCGGAAGAAGAAGGGACGGCUAACUCUGUGCCAGCAGCCGCGGUAAUACAGAGGUCCCAAGCGUUGUUCGGAUUCACUGGGCGUAAAGGGUGCGUAGGCGGGUAAGUAAGUCUGUUGUGAAAAUCUUUCGAGCUUAACUCKGGAAACUGCAGUGGAUACUAUCU
rnacentral:rRNA from 1 species